rnacentral:rRNA from 1 species
UACAGAGGUCCCAAGCGUUGUUCGGAUUCAUUGGGCGUAAAGGGUGCGUAGGCGGUUUGUCGCGUCGAAUGUGAAAACCCGGGGCUCAACCCCGGGCCUGCAUUCGAUACGGGCAGACUAGAGUUCGGUAGGGGAGUCUGGAAUUCCUGGUGUAGCGGUGAAAUGCGCAGAUAUCAGGAGGAACACCGGUGGCGAAGGCGGGACUCUGGGCCGAUACUGACGCUGAGGAGCGAAAGCGUGGGGAGCAAACAGG